rnacentral:lncRNA from 1 species
UGAAGACAAAACCAUGCCCACCAGACCCACCAACAUAGCUGGGGACAAUGGCAAAGAUGAAGGUUGUGGCAAAGGAGGAAGCUGUGGUGGGGUGUUGGGAAUCAUGGCUGUUCUUGUUGAGAAAGUGAAAUGGGGUGUUGUAGAAGGCAUGGCCAGUGAGGUUGGGUGAUGAGUUUGUAAGCCUGAGAGCCCCAUUUGGCGUGGUGAGGGAAGCCCCACCAAGGCUUAAGUUGGAUGCAGAAGCUUUGAAGCCAUUGAAGAUGAAGCCAUAAUCAGACUGAGAGUAAGCUUGAUUAAGGAGGAGCAGAGAGAAGAGGGGAAAGAGGAGAGUUUUUGCCAUUUUAGAUGGGUUUUUCUCAAGGUAGAACUGUAGAAGAUAGAUUUGUAGGCAAAUGUGAGAGGCAUACACGUCGUCUUCAGUUUCCUGUGGAGUUGUGGACAAAUGUCCAUCUCUUCGUACCAUUUUCAAAUCAAUAGACCCAGUGUAAUUUAAUUUGCUUAGGUUGCUAGGGUUAAAGUGGCCAAUUUGUAAGGAAAAGCAAAAUUUCUAGAAGAAAAAAGAUGUUCUUUGAUUGAAAGUUUUCAAAUAACAGGCAUUUGUGUUGAUGGUGUGACAUUAGCCUCCAAGAAUUUGUGCAGAGAUGAUGAUCUGGAUGCAGAAUAUUUUUGUGCAAGAGAAAAGAUUUAUUUCGUGUUUGUUUGAAGCCAUGGAUACAGAAUUAGAUUUUAGAACCCGUCUAAUCAUAAUUUUGAAAAUAGUUUUUAAAAAUAAAAUUUUAAGAUUAAUUCAUAAAAAUAAUUGUGUGGACCUCGUAUUUCUGUUCAUGCGCUUCCACUCGAUGACGAACUCGUUUUUUAUUUGAAAAAUGAUUUAUUUUUUAGAAAAUAACUUGGAGUCGUCACUUAUUUUUGUUUUAUUUUUAAAGGGGAAACAAAAUAAGAAAGAAAACCCUAAGUGUGACCUUAUUUUGGAAAAGGUGAUCUGUGAAAAACUAAAUAUGGACUCGAAGGUCAGGUUACUUAUUGGGAAGGUACGGUAAAGGCCGUAACACCCCUCUAAGUCCCUAAAAAUAGGUCUCUACUGAUGAAAUGAGACAAGUAUGACAAUUGAUUGAUCAAAUAUGGAUACCGAAUGAAUAUCAAUCAAAACAAAAUAAUCGAAUGAACAAGAGAAACAAAGAGUGUACCUAAUUGAUGAGCGGAUUUGCUUCAUGAAAAUAAAGAUUAGUAAACAAACAUAGAAUAAUCACAUGUGUGUCAUAGAGUGGAAUAAGUCAAUCAUGUAUAGCAAUCAAUGAGAUAAUCACAUAUGUUGGGUCCCUAUUAAGACCCACUUUAUUUUUGCAUGAAUUAAUUCUGUAAAUUCCAUACUGGGGCAUAUUUCCUUCUUUUAGCUGUGGAGAGGAUUACUUUCUCACAGGCUUGUUGUCGUUUUCAUUACUCAGUCGAGGGAUAUUUAUUCAUAUCGUUGGCCACAGUUUCGAUGAUUUUUGACGAGAUAAGCCACUAGAGGAGCACAACUUUCGGGUUUUAACUGUCCCACCAUUCAUGAUUCUUUAGUAGAUUGUUGUGUUGAGAUGGUGGUAGUUACCCUAACAGCUUAUCCUCUUGUGACUCCCCAGUGGAUCAUUCCUUUGAGACGACGAUGGAUUCUUCCGGCAUAACAUGUUGAGUUAGAGGCGUCCGACUUAUUGUGACACAUCAUCAAGUCUCGUGAUUCAGUCAGAUUGGCUGUGAAGCCAUAUUAACAGUCGAUUUGACCGUUCCAACUCGUCAGCGGAGCAUCUUUUGAGACUCAUGAAGUAUGUUUUAGACCUUUCCUGUGGAUUGAGAGUUGUAGCGGCACGCUACACUGGGGCAUAUUUUCUCCUCAUUAUCUCCUCACAUUUUCAGUUUGGGCGUUCAGAGCCACAAUCUCUUCUCAGUUUCGGCGUUCAGAGUCAUCAUAUCUUCUCAGUUUUGGUGUUCAAAGCCAUCAUAUAUUCUUAGUUUCGGCGUUCAAAGUCACCAUCUCUUCUCAGUUUUGACGUUUAAAGCCACCAUCUUCUCAGUUUGGGCCUUCAGAACCACCAUAUCUUCUCAUUUUUGGCGUUUAGAGCCAUCAUCUCUUCUAAGUUUCGGUGUUCAGAGCUACCAUCUCUUCUUAGUUUUGGCGUUCAGAGCCACAAUAUUCUUAGUUUGGGCAUUCAGGGCCACCAUCUUUUCUCAGUUUGGGCGUUCAAAGUCACCAUCUGCAUUAUUUGGCAUUCAGAGCCACCAUCUCCUCUCAGUCUGGCAUUUAGAGUCAUCAUCUUAUCAUGAUCGAGCAUUCGCUGCCACUUUUUUGGCGUUCAAAGCUACAUUCAUGACGUUCAGGGUCAUUGUUCACAGUUUGGCGUUCAGAGCCUUUAUCUUCUUCAAUUUGUUGUUCAAAGUCGCAUAUCAACCUGGCAUUCAAAGCCGCCAUUUUCCUUUAGUUCGGCGUUCGGAGCCACGUUCCUAACAUUUAGAGUUGUCUUUCUCUGUUAGUUAGGUGUUCGGAGCCACGUUGCUAGCAUUUAGGAUUGUCAUUUUCUUUUAGUUUAGUAUUCAAAGUCAUUCUUACCAUUCAGGGCCACUUUCAUCAAUUUUAGGCGUUCAGAGCCAUGUCUUCAAUUUGGCAUUUAGAACCACCAUCUUCUUCAGUUUGACAUUCAGAGUUGUGUCUUCAUUUUGACAUUCAAGGCCAUUGUCUAGCUUGGCAUUCGGUGCCACCAUCUCCUUUUAGUUUUGGUGUUCAGAAUCGUUUUUUCCCAGCUUUGUCAUCCAUAGUCAUGGCUCCUGGCAUUCAUAUUCAUUGGCAUUGCACAUCUUGCCUUCACGAUUUUUACGUUCAUCCUCAUUUUCCUCACCUCGUUACCUUGUGCUUAUCGCUUGUUCAUCACGUUCUUCUAGACUUCCCAUUCCCUUGCACAUGACAUAGUUCAUUGAGUUCAUGGCACAUAUUUUGAUCAUGUUAUUGGGGCACCCUACACUUAGCAUCCUCAUGUAGUUCACAUAGGGCAAUCCCCUUUGGACGCAUUCUUUCCUGUACUCGAAGGUGGUUCAACUGCUACUCAACUUUGACAUCGAUCUUCGAGUCACUUUUGGAGACAUCUUAGAGUGUCUGGGUCCAUAACACAACUUUAGAUGCAUUCUAAGAGCUACCAUUUUUUUAGGAUUUUAGAGCCCCUUUUGUUCUUUGUCAGUUUGAACAAGUUUGUGUUCUACUUGUGUACCUUUGGGGGUCUUUCUUUUUCUUUGGUAGAGUUCACUCUAUUCUACUCACUAUUCACACUUUCUUUUCACUCUAGUAUUCAUAUUCUUUGCACUCGUGAACUCUACCGAAGAUGGGUAUAUUUGUAGACCUUUGUAGGACCGUGGGUUUUUUUUCUCAAACCCGGGAAGAGCUGGCAACUUGUUUUUGGAGUGGGGGCCAAUUUCCGAAGGAGUCAAGCUACAUGGACGUGUGGCUAAGGGACAUUACCACCUUGUUAGGUGGUGGUUGAGGAUGGUCAUAUUUGCUAAACCAGGAGCAAGUGAAGACAUAGGGGAGGAAGAAAAACAGAGGAAAUAGGAAAAAAAAAACAGAGCAAGCUUUUUGGUGGUGGGAAAUAUAUAGAAAAAAAAAACGGAACUGAGGAAAGGGUGGUGAGUCUGCGGAUAUCCCAAGAGAGAGCAAAAGCAGAGGACUUUGAGGUACGUUGGUUGUGAUUUCCUUGCUCAUUUUUGCUAGAGAGGAGCUCUACCAGGUGCGAGCAUUGUGGAUCUUUAUUGUUCAUCUUUCUGAUUACAUUGUUCUUCAUGCAUUUUUCUUGUUAUUUUUUUUAGCUUUCAUUUGCUACUUGGAUGUGACUACUCUGCUAUUCUCUCAUUUUCUUUGAUUUCGUUUGGGGCUACCAUGCGCAUGGGUUCAUCCAAAUCAUGUCAAUGUUCUCUGUUUAUCCCAUGUUCAUGGCCCAUGAAUUCACAUAUAAAAUAAGGCUCCAUAGGUUUUUUUUUUUUUUUUUUUUCUUUCUCUGUUUCUUCCUUGGGGACAUGAGAAACUUCUUCUCCUUCUUUUUGUGGGACUGGUCUCGGCUCGGAGGGAUGUGGGGAGGUUUUAAGAGAGAGGGAGUUGUAGGAAGAGCUAGUCACAAGCUUGAGAGAGAAGAUGAGCAUGAGAGCAGAUCUGGAACUAAUAACAUGGACGGUGCUUCUGGGGAUGAUCAGGAUGCUAUCAACAACCCACCAAGGAAGAAGAGAUACCACCGACACACUCCUCGGCAAAUCCAAGAACUUGAAGCCCUAUUCAAGGAGUGUCUUCAUCCUGAUGAAAAGCAAAUGUUGGAACUCAACAAAAGGCUUUGCUUGGAGACUAGGCAAGUGAAAUUCUAGUUCCAAAAUCAUCGUACCCAGAUGAAGACCCGAUUAGAACGACAUGAGAACUCAAUUCUUAAGCAAGAAAAAUGAUAAACUUUAGGCUAAAAACAUGUCAAUAAAGGAUGCUAUGAGGAACCCAAUUUGCACCAACUGUGGUGGUCCGGUAAUUAUUGGUGACAUUUCUGUAAAGGAGGCAGAAUCUUUUUCUAGAUGUCAAAAGCUUCACAUACCUUUGAAUAAUAACCUUUGCCGUAAUGAAAUUGGUCAGUCCGAGAAUAUUCGAAUCCAAACCCGGUAUCAACAGGGUUGAAACUUUCUUAUGAGGAAGAUGAGCACAACUCUUCUAUUACUUUCGCAUGUGAUAUCAUGACCGCCGCACUCCCUGUUAUUUCAUCUCUUGGUGAUAAUCUGAAGCUUGAGGUAGAAAAGGUUGAAAAAAGAGAAGAGGCGGUUCUUUGCAUUGUCACUAGGGUCGUUUUUUUCACUACUCAAACAUCUUCCCAUUCUUUCUCAUCAUAUGCACCCAUCAUACCUAUUUUUUCUCACAUUUUCCUCCACUCAAACAUCUUCAUAUUCUCUCUCAUACAUAUAUAGCCAUCAUACCUAUUUAUCUCACAUUUUUCCUCCACUCAAACAUCUUCUCAUUCUGUCUCAUACGUAUGCACUCACCAAACCCAUUCUUUAUUUAUUUUUUCUUUCUCUCACUAUUUCCUCCACUUAAAUAUCUUCCAACUCUCUUUCAUACCCGUGCAACUUGCAUUUCCAUUUUAUUUCUUCAUAUUUUAACAUCAAAGUUUAAUGUUCCAAAAUUUCAAUUUUUAAAUUUAAUUUUCAAAACUCUAAUUCUCAAUUAAUUUCCAAAAUUUCAAUUCUUAAAUUUAAUUUUUAAAACUCCAAUUUUCAAUUAAUUUCCAAAAUUCCAAUUCUUAAAUUUAAUUUCCAAAAUUCCAUUCCCUAAAUUUAAUUUCCAAAAUUCCAUUCCCUAAAUUUAAUUUCCAAAAUUCCAAUUCUCAAAUAAUUUCCAAAAUUCCAAUUUCUUUCAAACUUAAUUUCCAAGAUUCCAAUUCUUAAAUUUAAUUUCCAAAAUUCCAUUUCUUAAAUUUAAUUUUCAAAACUCCAAUUCUCACAAAAUUCCAAUUUCUUUCAAAUUUAAUUUCAAAAAUUCUAAUCCUUAAAUUUAAUUUUCAAAACUCCAAUUUUCAAAUAUUUUUUUUUAAGAUUUCAAUUUUUAAAUAAUUUUCAAAAUUCCAAUUUUCUUCAAAUAAUUUUAAAUCCACUCCAGUUUUCUAAUAAUUUUAAGUCCUCAACUUUUGUCCUUCAUUAGGGUUUUAGGUCACCAAAAAUCCGGAUUUUGAUAAACUUGCUACUUUUCCUUAUGGGUAAGCACUUCCACAAAUUUCCUUUGAUUUUAAAAUAAUUUUUCUUUUUUUUCGAUUUUUAAAUAAAAAUGAAUAUGAUUCUCAUAUCUCUAGAAAUAAUGGAAUUUAUGAGAUUAAUUCACGCAAAAUCAAUCGGGCUUUGGUGGGGGCCCAACAUCCAUAACAUUUCUUCAAAAAUAAUUCAAGUGAAUCGCAUGAUUGAUAUAAUUUGAUUUUGAUUGGUUUUGUGUGAAAUAUUUUACAUUUAUCAUUGUGCACUAACUCUGUUUCAUGAUAGCGCUUUAUUAUUUGUUGCUAAAGUACGCUCCUAUUCCUACUUCAUUUAUUUAUUCGUUCUCAUGCUCAAUUUGUUUUAUUAUUUGAUCAUUUCAUUGGUAUCUAUUGAUCUCCUUAUUAAUUGUCACACUUGUUUCACCUUAUUUAGUAGAGACCUUAUUAUAAGGCUUAGAAGGGUGCUACGGCUCACCACUGUACCUUCCCAAUAGGUAACCUGACCCUCGAACCCAAACUCGGUUUUCCACAAACUUAUUUUUUCUUCAGGAGUGACACUUAGUGUUUUUCUUUCUUAUUUUGUUUUUUCCUUAAAAAAUAUUAAAAUAAGUGGCGACUCCAAGUCUUUUUCUAAAAAUCAAAUUUUCAUAAAUAAAUUAAAAAAAAAAGAGUUUCGCCAUUGAAUGAGAAAGCAUCGAGCAAAAUACAUGGUCUACGCAAUGUUUUUAGUAUUUUUGUUAUUUAAUUUUUCAUAUUAUAAAUUCUUCUUUUCUUUUAUUAGUCUUUUUUUUUUCUUUUAUUGAAUGAUACCAACAUUACCAUUUUUAAAAUAUGAAAAUUUAUUUAUAAUUAUUAUAAUACUCAAACUUUUUAUUCCCUUCACACCAAAUUUUUUGGCUCCACCGCUACUUUCAAUAUAUCAUAUGCUGAAAAAUGUAGGCUAUGUUUGAAAAUUGUUCUCGACAAUACUUUUUUAUUUAUAUAUAUAUAAAUUGUUUCCAAAAUAUAUUUUUGAGAAAAAUGGAAAUUAUAUUUGCAUCCACCAAAUUGAUUUUUGCAUCCAUUCUAUUUACACAUCCACUUAAAAAUAAUAAUUUUAUUAAUACAUCAACUAACAAUUUUAAACAUUUUUCAAUCCAUCAUUUAAAAAAAAAAAAAAAACAAAUUGCUUUAAGCAUAUACAAAAAAAUAGGCUUACAAAUUCCUUCAUACGCCCAUGCAAAAAAAAGUGUAGGUACAUAACUAAAUCAUCUCAAAAAACAAUUUUAUGGUAACACUAUUAAAGUAAGUGAUGAACCAAUUGUAAGGCUUAGAUAUUGAUAUUGUUGUUAACAAUAUUGACACAAUUAUGUUUAUGUCUAGGAUGUAAUGGAAUUGGUCGUUUGCAUGUUUUUCUAUUAUGUCUAUAAUCAUUACAUCUACCACAACAUCAUGUGCACUUAAUAACCUUUUUGCCUGAUCAAAUUCUUUCAUUUUUUGGUCUUCCUACUAGUUGUUGACUUUUAGGUGGUAAUACAACUCUACAACAAAUGUAUUUAGGAAUUACCCAAUCUUUUUUAUUUCUAGUAGAAUAUAUAGAUUUUGAAUAUGAAGAUAUAAGUGAGUUCUUCAUAUAGUAUUGAGAGCACAUAAUAUAUAACGACAUGUUUCCAUAUCUACAUGCAUCGAUCGCAUGUGUACAUGAAAUAUGGUCAAGAUCAAACAUCCUACAUGUGCAUGAACAUGCUUGCAAAUUAACUUAAUCACUUAUCCCAACAUAUUUGACAUUAAACUCCCAAAAAUUAAUAGACUCAACCUCAUAACUUGAUAAUUUAUUAAACCUUAAGCACAACUUCAAGUUAACCCAUGUGAUAAGUUCAAUUUUCAUUGACAAUGCUUGUUGUUGGCGAUUUGAAAACCAUCUCUAAAGUAAGUUUCUCAACUCUUCAACCAUUCUCAUAAUCGAAAGAUCUCUUGCAUCUUUUAAUACAACAUUCAUGCACUCAAUAAUCCUGUAAUCAUGAUAUUAUAUUUUUUUUCAUUAUUAUGUGACCGAGUUUAUUGCUUAAUUCCUAUAUCCACUAAAUAAACAGAUGCUCUAAUUUUCCAUACAUGUGAUUUAUUACUUACUAUUAUUUGACUUUGUCAUAUGGAUAAAACUUUUAACUUCUUUUAAAUUAAAAUUUUCACUUUUUCACAUUUUAAAACUUUUUUUUUUCAUAACUAAUGUUGAAGCUUUUUUUACCAACAAUGGUGAAGUAAGGUUUUAAAUUUAUAGGAAACAAAAAGAAAUAAAAUGAUAAUAUAUAUAAAAAAAAAUGUUGGUUGCUUACAAGACUAAGAAUAAAGAGUAGAUGAAACAAUAGUGAGAAUUUAGGUUUUUUCUUUGUCGGGAAACAAAAAAGGAGCAAAUAGAUGAUCAAAUAAAAAAAUAAAAAGCUAAUAUAUUGUAAAAUAGAGGGAAGAGAAAAUCAUCUUAGAGGAAAAAAAAAAAAAAGAGGAGGGGGGGGGGGGUGGUAUUUAUACUUUUUGAGAGAUAAAUUAUUCUUAUAAAUAUGAGAGUUAUUUUAAUCCCUUUUAACCAAAUAACCUAAAUUUUAAACCGUUAAAAAAAGUAUUGAGAAGUUGUCUUGAAGGCUUAAGGCUGUGUCAAAAAUGGUCAAUGGGCUUCUACCUCCUACUUUUCCAUCUUAGAAAAGCCUAGGAUUCCAUUCUCAUAGAGAACCUUAUCUAUGAAUUAGGUAAAAAGGAAUGCCUUUGCCCUCUUAACCAUUAUUAAAGCUAGCGAAGCAUAAGAAGAGUCCACGUCUUUCCCCCACAAGAAAGCUAAAAGUUAGCUCAAAAGCCUCAUAAGUCUCCUAGGAGAACUUUUGUUUGGCAGCAUUUUUAAAAGUAGGUUUUUUCAGCUUAUUAUCAAUGAAUUGAGGCUUAAUGCAACACUUUUCAGAGUAAUUUUUUUUUUUCAAUUGAUUCUCAUAACACUUAACAAAAAAAAGCCUAAAAACAUAUCAUAUUUGUUCUUAAAAAAGAACCAUUUUUCAAAAAAUUAUUGUUGGUAAAAAGUUUGUCAAACACGUUUUUUAAAAUUGGAGUUAGGUUUUCUAUUUUGACAAAAAAUUGUUUUUAAGAAUGGCUUCCAACCACUAAUUUAAUUUAAAAACUUUAAUUGUUGAAUGAUGUACCAACUACAUAUAUUAAGUUGAUUUUUGCUAAAACCCUAACGCUCAGGCAAUCACCAUUUUCUGAACUAAUUUAAUCUAAAAGCUUAAAUUGUUAUAUAAUAAGCCAUAUGUAUCAAGCCUACCCAUGCUAAAAGCCCUAACAACAUCAAACUCAAAACUUGAUGCCAGAGGUCUUCAUACUUCAACAACUUCAGCCUCAUUACUCAACAUACAGGCCACCAUCCUCACAAAGAAAAUGAAACUAAGCAGAACAACAAGCAUAUACAAUUAAUCUACCGCCCAGAUGCUAAGGAUCCAACAGACAUCACUCCAUAGGAUGAUGGGUGUGAGUCAGCUUUGGAGUCCAAUGAGCCCACAAAGAAACCUAAACUUGAAGCAUCAACCUCGGGGAGUGGGUCAAAGCCACUGAGAUAUCUUGUAACCUGCUGCAUAUUGGGCCUAGCCUGUGGCUCUGGGUAAGAGCAGAGGAGGCCAACCUUCAAAACCAAUUCAAUCUCCUUCUUCACAUAUGAAUUGCCAAGCUUUGGAUCUGCAGCUUCAAGUAUAUGACCCCUCUGAUGACACUGUGCCACCCAAUCUUGUAGAAUCAUUUGUUUCCCGGACGAGGCAUUGGGGUCUAGAGGCCUCCUCCCACAUGCCACUUCUAGUAGUACUGCCCCAAAGGCGAAUACAUCGGAGCUUGCGGUGGCCUUUCCAGUGAGGGAGAGCUCCGGUGCUAUGUACCCCACUGUGCCCACCACAUGGGUGGUGCUAGGGUUCUUCCCAUGCUCAUAUAGUUUGGCCAGGCCGAAGUCUCCUAGCCGGGAAUUCAUAUUUGAGUCAAGCAGGACAUUGUUGGCCUUCACAUCCCUAUGGACAACUACCUGUUCCCAUUCUUCAUGUAAAUAUAGGAGGCCUGCAGCAAUCUCCUUGAGGAUCCUGAACCUCUGUCCCCAAUCAAGGUUCUUGUCUUCUUGAAACAGGAAGGUGUCCAGGCUGCCAUUGGACAUAUAAUCAUAAACAAGAAGGAGAUCGCCUUUUCGCUUACACCAACCUUGGAGAUGAACCAAGUGCCUGUGCCUCAGCUUUCCUAGGCUUGCAAUCUCUGCAAUAAACUCCUUCACUCCCUGCUUGGAAUUGUGGGAAAUUCUCUUUACAGCAACUUCUUCUCUAGUCUUUGGCAGCACCCCCUUGUAGACGGAACCGAACACGCCUUUGCCGAGAAUCUGGCUCUCCUUGAAGCCCUUUGUGGCAAUAUAAAGGUCUUUGUAUCUAAACCUAUGGGGGAAGUCCAAUUCCCAAUCUUCCAGGACCUCAGCUAGCCUUGCCCUUCUUAGCAUAUACACAGAAAUAGUGAUUCCACACAGAAGUAACGCAAGGGUCACCAUUGUUGACGCUGCUCCAAUCUCAAUCCCUCUUCUCCUCCCAAGGCCUGGAGAUGGGGUUCCAUUUCUUGGGGGAGAAGGGAUUUUAGAGAGAUCAAGAGGGUCUUCUUCUGUACGACCCAUCUUCAAACUCCACCCCAGAAUGUAAUGAGAGUUAGGAUGCUUCCCAGUGGCAGCUGAGAAGCCAACAUACAUGGACUCUUUAAAGAUAGGGGAUAAGUCCAUGGCUAGGGACAAGAGGGGUUUGCUUGGUUUAGGAAGAGAAGCAGGGGAAAUGGUGACAUUGACGAUUUUUUGAGCUCCAUCAUACUCAAUCCAAGCUUGGAUUGGAUUCCCACUCUCCAAAACCACUUCAUGAGAGGAUUUGGAGGAGUUAUCAUAGUAUGAAGCUGACUUAGAAGCAUUAGACCUAACAGUAUUGAUGUCUAUACCAACAUGGUUAUCAUCGAUAUCUCCAUACAUAACCAGGGAUUGAACUGUAUCAAACUCAACAGCAAACAAAUGGUUGGAGAAGUUCCCCAUGGUGGCCUCAUUAAAAAGACCAAAAAGAUUACCACGUCCACCGUCUGAAAGGUUCUUGGAGGGAGAAACGGUGAAGACAAAACCAUGCCCACCAGACCCACCAACAUAGCUGGGGACAAUGGCAAAGAUGAAGGUUGUGGCAAAGGAGGAAGCUGUGGUGGGGUGUUGGGAAUCAUGGCUGUUCUUGUUGAGAAAGUGAAAUGGGGUGUUGUAGAAGGCAUGGCCAGUGAGGUUGGGUGAUGAGUUUGUAAGCCUGAGAGCCCCAUUUGGCGUGGUGAGGGAUGCCCCACCAAGGCUUAAGUUGGAUGCAGAAGCUUUGAAGCCAUUGAAGAUGAAGCCAUAAUCAGACUGAGAGUAAGCUUGAUUAAGGAGGAGCAGAGAGAAGAGGGGAAAGAGGAGAGGUUUUGCCAUUUUAGAUGGUUUUUCUCAAGGGUAGAAGACAGAUUUGUAGGCAAAUGUGAGAGGCAUACACGUCGUCUUCAGUUUCCUGUAGAGUUGUGGACAAAUGUCCAUCUCUUCGUACCAUUUUUAAAUCAAUAGACCCACUUUAAUUUAAUUUGCUUAGGUUGCUAGGGUUAAAGUGGCCAAUUUGUAAGGAAAAGCAAAAUUUCUAGAAGAAAAAAGAUGUUCUUUGAUUCAAAAUUUUCAAAUAACAUGCAUUUGUGUUGAUGGUGUGAAAUUAGCCUCUGAGAAUUUGUGCAGAGAUGAUGAUAUGCAUGCAGAAUAUUUUUGUGCAAGAGAAAAGAUUUAUUUCAUGUUUGUUUGAAGAAGGGGCUACAGAUUCAGAUUUUAGAACCUGUCUAAUCAUAAUUUUGAAAAUAGAUUUUAAAAAUAAAAUUUUAAAAUUAAUUUAUAAAAAUAGUUGUUAAUCAUUUUAAAAAAUAAGAGUGUUUGAUAUUAUGAUUUAAAUACAAUUUUUUGUUUAACAAAAAUCUAUUUUUAAAUAUUUGACCGUUAUUUUCUGAAAACAAUUUUUAAAAGUAAAAUAAAAUAAAGAAUAAUUUUUAGAUAACAAAAUAGUUGAUCAUGUCUUUUUAAAAACAAAAAAAAAAAAAAAUGGGCAUGUUUCAUCAUAUUUUUUUAAACUUGAUUUUAAAAACUAUUUUUAAUUCAAAUAAUUUUCUUUUUUUUAAAAAAAAGAACAACUUUAAAAAAAUAUAACUAAACAACCCCAAAAUUCCUUUUAAGAGCUUAUUUAUAAGAAAUAAAUUUUUUUAAAUUAUUUUCAGUGAAAUCAUAGUGCAUAUAACGCAAGAACUGUACUUUCAAUUAUCUUAUAUAACAUAUUAAAAAAACAUUAAUAUUUUAAGUAUGUUCUCAAAAAUCACCUUAUUUUCACAAAUAGAUGGCAAAAAAAAUAUUUUUAGUUCAAAAUUUAUCAAAUAUUUAUUGAAAGUUGGAAAAUUGUUUCCAAAACAAUUUUUAAAACUAAUUUUCCAAAGUUUGGAAUUCUUCUUUUACAUAGACAUAUAAAAUAGAAAUAUUAUUGAAAUUAUAAUCCAACCUAAAAUUAAAUUAGAAGAAUCUUAAAAUUCUGAAAAAAAAAAAAAAAGGAAUUAUUAUUUAUUUAGCUUUCUUAUGUGUCGACCCGUAUUUUGCUAUCUAUGUUCUCAUGCAACUUGUUUUUCUAUUUGGUGAAAAUUUGAUUUUUUGAAAAAGACUUGGAAUUACAACUUCUUUAUUUGGAAAAAAGAUGUCAGCAAAAUCCAAAUCUGAAUCCGGGGUCAAGUUACUUAUUAGGAAGGUACGGUGGUGAGUCGUAGCACCCUCAAAGCCCCCAUAUACAUACGGUCUUUACUAAACAAAUUAAAAGAAUUGUGAUAAUUAAUUAAUUAAUCAUGGUAUAGACCCCCUCAGCUGGGGGCAUUGGCUGGUUUUUAUUUUUAUUCAUUUUUUUUUCUUUUCUUCUUCUUUUCUGCUUUCUUUAUCCACCCGAGGACGGCUGGAAGUGAAAGGAGGGAAAAUGAGUUAUCCUUAGGCUGCUGUAAGGGACAGGGGGCGAACAGUAUUUGAGCAGCUGAAGAGGACGAGAAGUAGGCGGGAAAAAAGGAAGAGAGCUGGGCGGGGGGAUUUGAGUGGGAGUGGUAUGUUUGGAGGGAGAGGAAUAUAGCUAGACGGUUUUCAUUAGUUUCAUGGGCAUUAGAGGUGGAUUUUAAGGCGUCUGAAGCUGAACAGGGCUUUAGGGGAGAAGGGUAUUCUCAGGUAUGUAUGAAUGUAACAGGUUCAUUGAUACGUUCUUCCUGCAAAAUGACCAGUUAGCACAAGGGCACUCUUCGAGCGAGUGUCAGCUCCAAUAUCUCCAGAACGAAGAAGGGAGAAAACAGAGAAAAGGUUGAGCAGAAAAAGGAAGAAUAAGGAAAAGAGAGAAAGUUCAGAUCCAAAAUCUCAUAGCCUCCAUCAUGCAGACCUCUCCCGAGAGUUUUAUGCCUUCUCUUGGGAAAAUCAAAACCAAAGCGACACAACCGUCUAACAGAAUUGGUUACAACCAGAAAUAGUAAAUUGCAGGAAAAAAAUAAAAAAAUAAAAAAACAAACCAAAAGAUAAAACCAGAGCUUCACGUCCCUUUCCUUACACGACGUAGUCGUUCAUCCAAAUUGGUGGUUUUCUGGGCCUGCGUGGGCCUGAGUUGGACUGGGCCUUGGAAUGCUUGGUGACUAGCUAAGUGGCAGCAUUGGGCUCUUCCAUGGGAGGUACUUUAGGUGUAUUGGGCUCUUCCACAACGGAUGCUUCAGUUGUCUGUACAUGUUGCUGUAAAGGAAUUGCCACGAAUGUAUCAUUCCCCACUCCAUGAAAAUCGACCUUGUCCUCAAGGUGGUAAUCAGGGUAAAGUCUGCAGAAUGCGACAAAAUCUUCCCAGGUUGCGUUCUCAGGGUCACUGGCGGUCCACUGCACCAGAAUUUGUUGGACUUCUUUUCCCUGUCGGAGAAUCGUUCGAACAGCACAAACAGCUGCUAGUACUAAUAGAGGAUGGAUGCCCAUAGUUUCGGUCGGGAGUGGAUAGACUUCUUCAGGAACGGGUCCUCGAAAAGGCUUAAAGGCAGAUAUGUGAAACAUGGGAUGGAUCUUGCAGCCACUGGGUAAUGCUAAACGAUAAGCGACGGCCCCAAUCCGCUCAAGCACUUGGUACGGUCCAUAAUACCGUUUGGCCAAUUUUUGGUAGGGACGAUGAGCUGCGGUAGUUUGCCGAUACGGUUGUAAGCGAACAAGAACCAUAUCUCCUACUUCAAGCUGCAGGUCGCGCCGAUGUGCAUUGGAUUUUUGCGUCAUCCGGUGUUGAGCUUGACGUAGAUUCUCCUUCAAGGUACGGAGCAAGGCAUCGCGCUCCACAAGUGCCUCAUCGAGGGCUUGGAUUGAAGUAGAGCCCUGGGUAUAAGCCGGAAUGAUCGGAGGGGGACGUCCGAAUAAGGCCUUAAAAGGAGUCAUUUUUAGUCCACUAUGAUAACUGGAAUUAUAACAAAAUUCAGCCCAUCCGAGAAAAGAGAUCCACGAGUGUGGCUUCUCAUUCGUGAAUGCACGUAAGUACUGCUCUAGUCCCCGAUUGACGACUUCGGACUGCCCGUCCGUUUGUGGGUGGUAAGUCGUACUAUGGCGCAAGGAUGUCCCGCUAAGCUGAAAGAGUGUCUGCCAAAAUUUACUCAUGAAGACAGGGUCGCGAUCGGAUAUGAUCGAACUCGGAAACCCAUGAAUCUUGACCACAAUUGUCGCAAAAACUUCCCCUGAUUUGGCGGCUGUGAACUGAGUUGGCAAAGCCUCGAAGUGCGCUGACUUGGUGAGACGGUCGACCACCACCAUGAUAACUGUAAAAUUGCAGGAAGGGGGUAGGUUGGUAAUGAAGUCCAUGGUGACUUCGUCUCAUACCAACGAAGGAACUGGGAGUGGCUGGAGGAGUCCAGCUAGUGCUUGGGUUGAAUACUUCGUCUGUUGACAAACUAAGCAUGCUGAAACAUAUUGCUCCACAUUUGCCCGCAUGCGUGGCCAAUAAAAAAAAAGUAGCCAAGCGAACCAAGGUACGUUUUACUCCACCAUGACCCGCGAAUGGGGUAGCAUGAAACUCGUGCAACAGUAGGGCCUUUAAGGAAGAGUUGGGGCUGAUGUAGUAUCUAUGCUUGAAGAACAACAAGCCAUCAUGAAGGGAAUAGUCCGAAGAGAGGGAACCCGUCGUGAACUGUUGAUGAAGGGAGACUAAGUCCGGGAAUGUAGAGUUUUCCUAACGAAGGGUGGUCAAAAACUCUAAGGAGGGGUGGCUCGAGAACGACAGACAUGAAGGCGCGGAUAGCGCAGGCUGUUCCAAUUCCUCUUCAUGGACCCGAGACAAAGCGUCCGCAGCUUGAUUAGCACGCCCCGGCUUAUAUUCGAUUCGAAAAUGGUAGCCCAACAACUUCCGGAUAUAAAUCUGUUGAUCUGGAGUUUGUACCACCUGCUACAAUAAUUCUUUCAUGCUUUUGUGAUCCGUUCGGAUAAUGAAAAACCUGCCCAAUAGGUAUUGGCGCCAUUUGUGUACUGCCUCAGCAAUGGCGUGAAGUUCCUUGAGGUAUGUUGAUGAAGCUUGUAGGCGCGGACCCAAUUUCUUGCUGAAAUAAGAGAUUGGGUGACCUGCUUGCAUGAGAACGGCGCCUAUUCCCACAUUAGACGCGUCAGUUUCGAUCACGAAGGUCUCAUUGAAAUCUGGCAACCGUAAAACUGGCGCUGCAACCAUUGCACUUUUCAGGGCAUCAAAAGCCACGGUAACCUCCGGAGUCCAAUUAAAAGCGUCUUUGCGUAACAAAUCCGUGAGCGGAGCCGCGAUUGAAGCAUAACUGUGAAUGAACCACCGAUAAUAGCCAGUGAGGCCGAGGAAAACUCGGAGGUGCUUCAAGGUGCAGGGUAUGGGCCACUUCAUCAUGGCAUCGAGUUUUUGCGGAUCGGCACGUACCCCGCCAGCAGAAACUAUGUGUCCCAGAUACUCAAUUGUCUCCUGGCAAAAGUGGCAUUUGGAGAGCUUGACGUAAAAACUACCCUUGUGAAGGCAAGUCAAAACCUGCUCCAGAUGAGUAACAUGCUUAGAAAUAAUAGUGUUGUAAACCAGAAUAUCGUAAAAAAAAAAAACGAUUACAAACUUGCGCAAGAAUGCAGCAAACAACUGGUUCAUUGUGGCUUGAAAAGUGGAUGGGGCAUUCAACAGCCCAAAAGGCAUGACAAGAAAUUCGUAGUGGCCCUCAUGAGUCCGAAACGCUGUUUUAUAGACGUCCCUAUUAUGUACCCUGAUUUGGUGGUAACCAGCCCGGAGGUCCAGUUUGCUAAAAAUAGUAGCGCCUCCUAAUUCGUCCAAAAGCUCGUCAAUGGUUGGAAUCGGGAAUUUAUCUUUGAUCGUUACUGCAUUGAGAGCGCGGUAAUCGACACAAAAGCGAUAGGUACCGUCCUUUUUUUUUUAACCAAUAACACCGGAGAGGAGAAAGGACUUUGACUUGGCCAAAUUAUACCUUGAUCAAGCAUCUCUCGAAUUAAUUUUUCCAUCUCAUUUUUUUUGGAAGUGUGGAUAUCGAUAAGGACAAACAUUCACUGGCUUUGAAUUAGGAAUGAGAUGGAUCUUGUGGUCAAUGGUGCAGUGCGGGGGAAGGCCUGUUGGCGGAAGGAACAGGUCACGAAAUUUCUGCAAAGUAGUAGAGAUUGCCACGAGCAAGGUAUUGGGAAAAAUAAGUGUAUUCUCUUUGGUAACCAAAGAGGCAGUUUUCAACUCUUCUGUCGCUAGUGGCUGCAAGACAAACAUGCUGUGGACAUUUGAACUGUGGAUCAGUGCCUGAAAUUGAUUAAAAGAAAUCAAGAUAGAGGACUGGUGCAAAUCCCCAUGGAGAAUGAUCGGACGCCCUUCCCAACAAAACUCCAUUGACAGGGCUGUAUAAUCAUGGGCAACACGACCCAAUUAUUGCAGCCAUUGAAUACCAAGAACGACAUCAGGUCCUUCAAUUGGCAGGAUAAAAAGAUUUAAGGGAAACACAUUCCCUUGCAACAUCAAAGCAACUUGGGGGCAAGUGUGCUGGCAAAUUAAAUAAUCUCCAUUGCCAAUGUAAACUCGAAAUUUAGGUGUUGGCUGAAUAGGGAGGCCCAAACGCUCCACCAGAGCCGGUUUAAUAAAAUUGUGAGUACUACCACUGUCGAUGAGCACAUGGAAGCGAUGAGACCCAAACUCACCAACUAAACGAAGGGAGCGGGGAUUACCUUGGCCUGCCAAGGCAUUGAGGCUGGAAAUGUCGCUCGUGACCAAGUCCUCGGCUGGUUCGGUUGCCACGCCAUCAUCAUCUGUAUCCUCAUCAAUAUCAUCCGUCCCUAAAAGAAGCAAAAAUUUGUUGCGACAACGAUGAUUAGCAGAAUAUUUUUUGUCACAAUUAUAGCAUAAUCCCUUUUCGCGCUUCUCUCGUAACUCAUUAGGGGUGAGGCGACGAAUAGGUAAAGCAGGGGCCGGAGCUAUGGGUGGUGUUUGCUUAUGCCCGACCGUUGUCGGUGGUGAGGCCGAAGCGGGGGUGGCUGUCUGAAACGGGCCCGUCGGAACGGUCGUUACAGCAUGUUGUCUAGUGGAACUCUCCGUGGACGUGUUGGCAGCAUUGGAAGAGGACCACUUAUGCCAAGGGCGAGCGCUCUACUUGAUCUCCUCACAGCGAGUUUCAUAGGCUCGAGCUAAGGCAAAAGCCUCCAUCAACGUGGACGGCCGUGAGAAAAGUAGCUCACGACGAAUAUCCGAUUUCAAGCCGGUAAUGAAAAAACUAAUCAACAACGGCUCAAAAAUUCCCAUGACUUUAUUCAUCAGGUCCUCGAAGGCCGAUUGAAAUUCCGCCACAAUCGAAGUCUGAGUAAGCUUAGAGAGAUUACCUUGAUGGUCUUCAUAGAGGGAAGCUCUGAAACGGUGCUUCAGACUGAGUAAAAAUGCCUUCCACGAAGACAACAGAUUAUUGGCCUUCAUCCAUUGAUACCAACCUGCUACCGGACCUUCCAUAUGGAAGGAGACAAUCCGCAGCCGGAGCGGCUCAGGUAUUCCAUGAAAAUAAAAAAAUUCCUCAACGCGAAAUACCCACCCGUGUGGAUCGGUUCCGUUAAACUUCGGAAUCUUCAUUUUCAUAAAACGUAAGGCAGUGGCUAACUCAUUAUCUCCAGCACCCAUCUCAGUAACAGGCGGCGGGCCGGUGGAGGACCCAGAAGACCCGCAGACGAUCCCGACGAUCCAUGAAACUGAGAACGGAACUCCUCCAGUCGCGAAUCCACAGUAGACAUAUAUUGUUGGAGUAUUUGAUGAAACGACAUCGUUUGGCUCUCAAAUUGAGCUUCAAAUUGAUCCUGCAAAGCCUUAACCGCUAAAAGCACAUCCAAGUCCGCCAUCAAAGGAGUCGAUGAAAGCACCAAUUGAUACGUUCUUCCUGCAAAAUGACCGGUUAGCACAAGGGCACUCUUCGAGCGAGUGUCAGCUCCAAUAUCUCCAGAACGAAGAAGGGAGAAAACAGAGAAAAGGUUGAGCAGAAAAAGGAAGAAUAAGGAAAAGAGAGAAAGUUCAGAUCUAAAAUCUCAUAGCCUCCAUCAUGCAGACCUCUCCCGAGAGUUUUAUGCCUUCUCUUGGGAAAAUCAAAACCAAAGCGACACAACCGUCUAACAGAAUUGGUUACAACCAGAAAUAGUAAAUUGCAGGAAAAAAAUAAAAAAAUAAAAAAACAAACCAAAAGAUAAAACCGGAGCUUCACGUCCCUUUCCUUACACGACGUAGUCGUUCAUCCAAGUUGGUGGUUUUCUGGGCCUGCGUGGGCCUGAGUUGGACUGGGCCUUGGAAUGCUUGGUGACUAGCUGAGUGGCAGCAUUGGGCUCUUCCGUGGGAGGUACUUUAGGUGUAUUGGGCUCUUCCACAACGGAUGCUUCAGUUGUCUGUACAUGUUGCUGUAAAGGGAUGGCCACGAAUGUAUCAUUCAUUGUUAGAUUUAGAUCCUUGCUAUCCCUCUGCAUUUUUUUUCUUGUUGAUAUUUUGGAUAUUUGUUGUUUUGCUUGGGGUGGAUUGUUGCUUGUUGAGAUAUAACCUUGAAUUCAUGUUUGUCAUCAUCCAUCUUAAUAUGCUCUGUUUCUAUUGUGAUUGCGGAAUGCUCGAGAAACCCCUCCAAUAUUUACACUUGAUGUUGUUUUUCUCACCUAAUGAGAAGAUUCACUGAUGAUUCAUGAUGUGAAGCUUCCUUUGAGAACCUUACUAUUUGUUUUCUGCUGUGCUCUGUUCCAUGUUUUUUUCUUCUUUGUUUUAGCUACUCUUUGUCCUUGGACCGUGUUCAAUGCAUAGAUGGUGGGAGAGGAGCAACUCUUGGUUUGAGGAAAGCUUCCUAGAAAAACGGGCAGAGAAAACUUUUCGGGGAUGGUCCGAAAUAGAGAAGAAAGAAGAAAUGAGUUUUUCUGGCGCUUAAGAGGAUUCCGAAAAUUUUUCGAAGUUGGUUGGUGCUAGUGCUGACUGGUGCUGGCUGGUGUUGGCUGGUGUUGGCUGCUGGCUGCCGCCGCGGGGAGGUGGUGAUCGUGCUGAAGCCAGGCGGGAAGGGAAGCUAGGAAGAAGAUGAAGAUUUGGUUUGGGCUUGAGAUAAGGCACUAGGCCCAAUUUUGUGUUGGUUUUGGCUUUGGGCUUGGGUUUGAAUUCGGAGCCCAGACCCAAGCCUAUGCUGAAGAUGAAGCCCAAAGCCCCAUUAUUAUUAUUAUUAUUAUUAUGCUAGUUUGGGCUUGGGUUUGGGCUUAUGGACUUGGGUUUAUGAUAUUAUCACUAUUAUCAUUAUUAUUAUUAUUACUAUUAUUAUUAUUAUUACCAUAGACAUUAUUAUUAUUAAUUCAAUUUUCCAAAUCUUAUUAUUAUUAUUGUUAUUAUUGUUAUUGUGAUUGUCAUUAUUGUCAUUGAAAAUCUAUAUUCUCGCAGUUUAAUCUCCUAAAGUUCAUCUCUUAUUAUUAUUAUUUCAAACUCUCAAAAUCUUAUUAUUAUUAUUAUUAUUAAUUCAAACUUUCAAAAUCUUAUUAUUAUUAUUAUUAUUAUUAUUAUUAUUAUUAUUAUUAUUAUUAUUUCAAACUCUCAAAAUCUUAUUAUUAUUAUUAUUAUUAAUUCAAAUUUUCAAAAUCUUAUUGUUAUUAUUAUUAAUUCAAACUUUCAAAACCUUAUUAUUAUUAUUAUCAUUAAUUAGAACUCUCGAAAUCUUAUUAUUAUUAUUAUUAUUAUUAUUAAUUCAAACUUUCAAAAUCUUAUCAUUAUUAUUAUUAAUUCAAACUUUCGAAAUCUUAUUAUUAUUAUUAUUAUUAAUUCAUACUUUCAAAACCUUAUUAUUAUUAUUAUUACUAUUAAUUCAAAUUUUCGAAAUCUUAUUGUUAUUAUUAUUAUUAUUAUUAUCAUUAAUUUAAACUUUCAAAAUCUUAUUAUUACUAUUAUUACAAAUUCAACUUUCAAAAGUCUAUGGUCUCGCAGUUCAAUUUCAUAAAGUUCGUUUCUCAUUUUCUUUAACAAAUUUCAAUUUAAUUACCGGAGCUCUAAUAUUUUAAAUUUAAUUCCAAAUACUCAAAUUUUCAAAUAAGCUCCAAAGAAUCCAAUUUUCACUCAAACAGUUUUAAUUCUACUUCGGCUCUCAAAUAAACCUUUUGUUUUUCUUGGUUCUACAUAAGCAUGAAUGGAAUUUGUGAGACUAAUUCGUGCAAGAUAGAUCGAGCUUUGGUGGGAGCCCGACACAUAUGAUUUUAUGAUCGAUUGAUUGAUUGACUGAUUUAAUUGUCAUGCGUGAUUGAUUUGUUCUGCUUUGUGAUAUGUAUAUAUUCAUCCCAUAUAGAUUUACUAACCCCCCUCUUGAUAGCGCAUAUUGGUUCGCCACCUAGGUAUGUAUUUUCUCGCAUCAUGGUCACUCCUUGUGCUUGUUUUAAUUCUCAUACGUGCAUGAUCGAUUCGAGUAUUCAUUGUUUUUCUCAUCAAUUGUCACAUCAGCUUCAUUUUAUUAGUAGAGACCCGACUUUAGGGACUUAGAGGGGUGCUAUGGUCUUUACCGUACCUUCCCGAUAAGUAACCUGACCCCCGAGCCCGAUCCGGUUUUUCGUAAGAUCACCUUUUCCAAAAUAAGGAGUCGCACUUAGGGUUUUCUUUCUUAUUUUGUUUACCCUUUUAAAAAUAAAACAAAAAUAAGUGGCGACUCCAAGUCAUUUUCAAAUAAUCAAUAAAAAAUCAAUUUUUCAAAUAAAAAUCGAGCUCACCAUCGAGUGGAAAACGCAUGAACCAAAAUGCGGGGUCCACACAUGGAUACAAAGAUUAAAAGAAUAAAACAAUAUUCACAAAAAUGAUGACAAAAUAAAACUACAAUAAUGUUCAAAACAAAUGACAAUAAAAUUAUACAAAUUGAUUUAUUGAACUAAUUAGAAAAAAUGAUAUUUGAAAGAAUUAGUUUUCCAAAAAUUUCAAAUUUAUUAAGAACAAUUUUGAAUUAGUGAUUUCAAUUUAUUUAUUUACAAAAAAAAAUUAAUUUAUUUUCGAUUAAUGAUUUGACUCGAUUUUAUUUGUAUUUAAUUUUCAAAAAAAGUUAUUUACACUUAUUGUAUCAAAAAAAUUUAUAACAAAAUUUAAAUUUGGUAACAAAAUUAAUUUUACUUACUUUUAUCAUAAAGGAAUGAAUUUUCACAUUUUUAUUUAUAAAAGUAUUUUGAUUCAUUUUCAUUUAAAAAAAAUGAUUUAUACAAAUUAUUAAAAAAAAAACACACAACUUUAUUUGCAAAAGAAUUUUUAAUUAAAAAUGAAUUUUUGGGACAACUUUAUUUACAAAACAAUUUUUAGACAAUUUUUAUUAAAUAAAGAAAUUUUUGGAUAAUUAUUAUAAAAAACAAUUUUUCAAAUUCUAUUAAAUUUUUUUUUUUGGAUUUUUCUAAAAGCAUUUUUCUAAAUUUUUUAACAAAAAAAACUUUCAUUUAUUAAGAAGAAUAUUUUAAAAUUUUUAUUUUACUAGAUUAUUCCUCUUAUUUAACCAGAAUUUUUUAUUUGUUCAAUAUUCAAUUCCGUGCACACUUAAUAAAUAUAUAUAAACGAACUAAUAAAAAUAAAACCAAAUAUUUACUACAUUGUUCCUCUUAUUUAACCAAAAUUUUUUAUUUAUUCAAUAUUCAAUAUUCAAUUCUGUGCACACUUAAUAAAUAUAUAUAAACGAACUAAUAAAAAUAAAACCAAAUAAAAGUGAAAAAUAACAAAUGUAAUCAAAUAAACUUACAAUAAGUUCAAUGUUUUUCUACAACUUUUCGAGUCUCACUUUCUUCCAGGAAAUCUUAUACUCCACACGAUCAUAAAUUCGUACUCAGUCAACAAAAUUGUAAAAUGGGUUUAUGCAAAAACAAAAAUAGUUCAAAUAUAAAUAUAUAGGAAUAUACAAAAUUCAAAACAAAUAUUCAAACUCAAAUUCAAACUUCAAAUUAGUUCAACAAAUUAAUUAAUCAAAAUGAGCUUAAAUUAAUAAAUAUAACCCAACAGAAAUAUUCAUAUCCCAAUAGCCUUAUUCCAAAAUUUUCAAGCUAAAAUACAAGCAUAAUUAGUCACACCCAAAAUAUUACAACACAAAAUAAAUUCAAUUCCACUUAAAUUUAAUAUCCCAUUAUCCAACCAUAAUUUAAUAAACAAACUCAAAUUCAAAACCAAAAUUAAACCCAAUUUAUGCUAACCGAAUUCACGAUCAAAACCAAAUCCAAUUCAACCAAUUCAAUAAACAAAUAACUAAAUAAAAUAAAAUUACCUUUCGUUUGAAACCGUGCAAUGGGUUUGGGUGUUGUGGGUUGUAGGGUAGAGAGAAACAAAGAAAAAUGGAGAAAAGAGAGAGAGAGAGAGAGAGAGAGAGAGAAAUGGUGGAGCGGUAGAAAUGGGUUUUGGGUGGGGAAAAUAGAAAAAGGAAGAGGAAUGAAGAAGAAGAGGGGAACCAGAUAUUGGAAGGGGGGAAAGGGUGUCGUAUGGGUGGAUGGGUGGGGAAAAUAGAAAAAGGAAGAGGAAUGAAAAAAUGGAAGAAAGAAAAUGGGGGCGGUCGGUGUGUGCGUGUUGGGAGUUGUGGAGUGUGUGUGUUUGGGGAGAAGAAAAAUGGAGAAAAGAUUGGAAAAAAAAAAAAAAAAAAGAGGAGCUGGAGUCGGUGGUCUGAGAAGUGGGGGAGGAGAGAGAAUGGGGAAGUGGGUGGAGUGGUAUAUCGAGAUUUGAAAAAUCUGUGGCAUUUUCUUGUAUUUUUGUGGCAUUCAUGAUCAAGAUGGAUCUAAACCAUUCAAGUGCCGUGUGCACAACUCCACCCAAAUACCGGCCAUUGAAGGCAACAUCUUCCUCCACUUGACGGGAGAAGUCAUAAACAUCUAGGAAAAAAAAAUCAAUGAUGUCAAUUCAUUUUCAUACAUUUCAUUUUUCAUUGACUCUCAUGCCUUCAUACUCAAAUCUUAUUACUCGGUCUUUAACUCAUAUAUUAUCCAUCUAAUUCAUAUAUGAUCGUAUUAUUUCAUACAUUAAUUUAAUUUUAUAUAUUUAUAAUUUCGUUUAACAAUUCAAAUUUCAUCGUAAAUGUCACGGGUAUAAAUUCAAAUUUUCAUUAUUAUAAAGUUUUCAUUUAAAUUUUUUUCAGGUGUCCUUUCUUCGGAAGGGCAAGAUCCUACUCCUACCCCAACCCAAAGAAGGUGGCAAAUUUACACCUCAACUUUCUUUGAAUCUUCUUCUCAACUAUAUCCUUUAAAAGAGUGGAACGUUUGUGUUCCUUAUGAAAGGGGCUUGUUCCGUGGCAGUACUAAGCCUCUCAGGAGUCUUUUCUGAUUUGGACGGACCAACCUUCACAGAAAUUAAAUGGUUGGGAGUUGGGAGUUGGGAAUUGGGAUGGACCUAUUCUAAAGUCCAAGUCUCCAGGAGACUAGGACUUGGGUUGGGACUUCAGAUUUUUAUUUUUGAAGUGUUGGAGACUUUUAGCAUGUAGGGUGGUUUGUUGGAGGUAGUUAAUUUUUUCUUUUUCCUCUUCCAUCUUUAGUAGGGAGAAGAAAUAUGUGUAGAAGGAUGUCAUUGAAUUUAUAUUUGAUAAUUAUGUUUUAAAAUGAAUUUUUUUCAAUUUAUAAGUAUAUAUAUUUUAAAAUUUUAAUUAAAUAGCAAUUUACUUUCAAUAGGGGCGGAGCCAAUACUGGCUCCGGGCGCACUGCCUCCCCUCAAAUUUUAUAAAUAAAAAAUUUCCUUUGCUAAUAUAGGAAUUUUAGAAAGUUAAAAAAAAAUAAAUAGAAAAGCAAGUUUGCCCCUUCUAAAAAACUAAUUUUAUACUUGAAAAAAGAAAAUAAAUGGAAUAAAAAAAAUAGAGAAUCAUCAAUAUUAAAUAGAUUUUAUAAAAUAUUUGUUUGUUUGUAUUUUUAAAUUUAUUUAAUGUUAAUAAAAUUAAAUUUAUUUAAAUCCUAAUAUAUACAAAAUAAAUGGAACAAAAUGAAUUUUUAUAAUUUUAUAUUUGAUAUUAUAUAUAUAUAUAUAUAUAUAUAUAUAUAUAUAUAUAUAUAUAUAUAUAUAUAUAUAUAUAUAUAUAUAUAUAUAUAUAUAUUUUUGGUUAUAGGCUAUAUUUUGUUUAAUUUUGAAAUUUUUUUAAUGUUUAUAGUCUAUUUGAUUGUCAGUUUUCUAUUUUCAAAUAUAAAAAGUUGUUUUAUCAUUAUUAUUUGAAAACAAUUUUUAAAAAUAAAGUGAAAUAGAAAACAAUUUUUAGAAAAUAAGUAGAAUUUGUUUUUAUCAGUUUUUAAAAACUAAAGGAAAAUAUGAGUCUAUUUGACCAUGUUUUCUGUAAUUUGUUUUUAAUAAUUGUUUUUCAUUCUUUUAACUUAAAAGUGGUUUUUAAAAAUAAAUUUUAGAAAACAUAAUCAGUCAGACUUUUAGGUUUAAUCAAGUAGUUAUUAAUUCAUAAAUAUGUACACAAUUAUUCAAAUAUAUGUUACUUCAUUGUUGAUGAAAUUUAAUUUUGUUUCAAUAUUUGAUAUUUUAUUAAACAUAUAUUUUUAUUGUUAGGUUAUUUUUAGUUUAAUUUAAAGAUUUUUAUACAUGUUUAGAUUUUAGGUUAAAUAAAACAUUUAUUAAUUUAGAGUUGAUUACCUAAAUUUUAAUAAUGACAUUAUAAUUACAUUAUAGAUAACUUUUAAAUAAAAAAUUUAUCAUUUUAAAAAAUCCAAAAAAAAGUAUUAGUUAAAUUAUUAAUUUUUUCCAAAAUUUCUCUAGCAAAAUAUUUCUAAAAAUUUUGGUCAAAUUUCUUACUAACUUAAAAAAAAAAAAAAUUCACAAACACUAUUUGAAUUUUUUUGAUAAACUUUUAAUAAAAUCUAAGACUCUUUUUUCAAUGUUUUUAGUAUUUUUGUUAUUUAAUUUUUCAUAUUAUAAAUUCCUCUUUUCUUUUAUUGAAUCAUACCGAUGUUACCAUUUUUAAAAUAUGAAAAUUUAUUUAUAAUUAUUAUAAUAUUCAAAUUUUUUAUUCCCCUCACACCAAAAUUUCUGGCUCUACAACUACUUUCAAUAUAUCAUAUGAUGAAAAAUAUAGGCAAUGUUUGAGAAUUGUUUUCAAGAAUAGUUUUUUAGUUUGUAUAUAUAUAUAUAUAUAUAUGUGUGUGUGUGUAAAUGUAAAUAGUUCCCAAAAUAAAUUUUUGAGAAAAAAUGGAAAUUAUAUUUGCAUCCACCAAAUUGAUAUUUGUAUCUAUUCUAUUUACACAUCAACUUAUGAUUUUAAACAUUUUGCAAAAUAGGCUCACAAAUUCCUUCAUGCCCUCAUACAAAAAAGGGUAUAGGUACAUAGCUAAAUCAUCUCAAAAAAACAAUUCUAUGGUAACCCUAUUAAAGUGAGUGAUGAACUAAUUGUAAGGAGAAUUCUUAGAUGUUGAUAUUGUUGUCAACAAUAUUGACACAAUUAUGUUUAUGUCUAGGAUGUAAUGGAAUUUGUCGUUUAAAUGUUUUUAUAUUAUGCUCAUAAUAACCACAUUUAUCACAACAUUAUGUGCGUUUAACCUUUUCAUCUGAACAAAUUCUUUCAUUUUUUUAUCUUCUUACUAAUUGCUGGCUUUUAGGUGGUAAUACAACUCUAUAACAAAUGUAUUUAGGAAUUACCCAAUCUUUGUUAUUUCUAGUAGAAUAUAUAGAUUUUGAAUAUGAAGAUAUAAGUGAGUUCAUAUAGUAUUGAGAGCACAUAAUAUAACACGACUUCUUUCCGUAUCUACAUGUAGCAAUCAUAUGUGUACAUGAAAUAUGGUCAAGAUCAAACAUCCUACAUGUGCAUUAACGGGUCUACAAAUUAACUUGAUCACUUAUCCCAAUAUAUUUGACAUUGAACUCCCAAAAGUUGAUAGAGUCAACAUCAUAACUUGAUAAUUUAUUAAACCUUAAGUACAACUUGAGGUUAACCCAUGUGGUAAAGCUUAAUUUUCAUUGACAAUGUUUGUUGUUGGCGUUUUAAAAACCAUCUUUGAAGUAAGUUUCUCAACUCUUCGACCAUUCUCAUAACUGAAAGAUCUCUUGCAUCUUUUAAUGCAACAUUCAUGCACUCAACAAUCUUGUAGUUAUGAUAUUAUAUUUGUUUCCAUUAUUAUGUGACCGAGCCUAUUGCUUAAUUCCUACAUCCGCUAAAUAAAUGGUUGCUCUAAUUUUCCAUGCAUGUGAUUUAUUACUUAUUAUUAUUUGACCUUGUCAUAUGGAUAAAACUUUUCAACUUCUUUUGAAUUAACUUUUCACUUUUUCACAUUUUAAAACUUAUUUUUUAAUAACUAACAAUGAAUAUUUUUUUUUACCAACAAUGGUGAAAUAAGGUUUUAAAUUUCUAGGAAACAAAAAGAAAUAAAAUGAUAAUAUAAAAAAAAAAAAGUUGGUUGCUUACAUUUUUAACAUCUUUCGUGACUAAAAAUAAAGAGCAGAUGAAACAAUAGUGAGAAUUUAGGCUUUUUCUUAGUUGGGACACAAAAAGAAGGAGCAAAUAGAUGAUCAAAUAAAAAAAUAAAAAGCUAAUCUACUAUAAAACGGAGGGAAAGAGAAAAUUAUGUUGAAGGGAAAAAAAAAGGGUAUUUUUUGUCCUAAUUGGAUAAUUUUUUCUACUUUUUGAGGGAUAAAUUAUUCUUUUAAAUAUGAGAGUUAUUUUAAUCCCUUUUAACCAAAUAACCCAAAUUUAAAACGGUUAGAAAAGGUAUUGAGAAGUUGUUUUGAAAGCUUAAAGCUGUGUCAAAAAUGGUCAAUGGGCUUGUACCUCCAACUUUUCCACCUUAGAAAAGCCUUAGGAUUCAGAGAACCUUAUCUAUGAAUUAGGUGAAAAGGAAUGCCUUUCCCCUCUAACCAUUAUUAAAGCUAGCGAAGCAUAAGAAGAGUCCACGUUUUUCCCCCACAAGAAAGCUAAAAGUUAGCUCAAAAGCCUCAUAAGUCUCCUAGGAAAACUUAUUAUCUAUGAAUGGCAGCAUUUUUAAAAAUAGUUUUUUUCAGCUUAUUAUCUAUGAAUGGAGGCUUAAUGCAAAACUUUUCAAGAGUAUUUUGUUAUAUUUUCAAUUGAUUCUCAUAAUACUUAACAAAAAAAAGCCUUAAAACAUAUCAUAUUUGUUCUUAAAAAAUAACCAUUUUUCAAAAAAUUAUUCUUAGUAAAAAGUUUGUCAAACACUUUUUUAAAAUUGGAGUUAGGUUUUCUAUUUUGACAAAAAAAAUUAUUUUCAAAAACUGUUUCCAACCACUAAUUUAAUUUAAAAACUUUAAUUGUUAAAUGAUAUACCAACUACAUAUAUUGAAACCGUGCAAUGGGUUUGGGUGUUGUGGGUUGUAGGGUAGAGAGAAACAAAGAAAAAUGGAGAACAAAAAAAAAAGAGAGAGAAAUGGUGGAGCGGUAGAAAUGGAUUUUGGUGGGGAAAAUAGAAAAAGGAAGAGGAAUGAAGAAGAAGAGGGGAACCAGAUAUUGGAAGGGGGGAAAGGGUGUCUUAUGGGAUGGGUGGGGAAAAUAGAAAAAGGAAGAGGAAUGAAAAAAUGGAAGAAAGAAAAUGGGGGCGGUCGGUGUGUGCGUGUUGGGAGUUGUGGAGUGUGUGUGUUUGGGGAGAAGAAAAAUGGAGAAAAGAUUGGAAAAAAAAAAAAAAAAAAAAAGAGGAGCUGGAGUCGGUGGUCUGAGAAGUGGGGGAGGAGAGAGAAUGGGGAAGUGGGUGGAGUGGUAUAUCGAGAUUUGAAAAAUCUGUGGCAUUUUCUUGUAUUUUUGUGGCAUUCAUGAUCAAGAUGGAUCUAAACCAUUCAAGUGCCGUGUGCACAACUCCACCCAAAUACCGGCCAUUGAAGGCAACAUCUUCCUCCACUUGACGGGAGAAGUCAUAAACAUCUAGGAAAAAAAAAUCAAUGAUGUCAAUUCAUUUUCAUACAUUUCAUUUUUCAUCGACUCUCAUGGCUUCAUACUCAAAUCUUAUAUAUUAUCCAUCUAGUAUUAUUUCAUACAUUAAUUUAAUUUUAUAUAUUUAUAAUUUCGUUUAACAAUUCAAUUUUUUCCUAAAUGUCACGGGUAUAAAUUCAAAUUUUCAUUAUUAUAAAGUUUUCAUUUAAAUUUUUUUCAGGUGUCCUUUCUUCAGAAGGGCAAGAUCCUACUCCUACCCCAACCCAAAGAAGGUGGCAAAUUUACACCUCAACUCUCUUUGAAUCUUCUUCUCAACUAUAUCCUUUUAAAGAGUGGAACGUUUGUGUUCCUUAUUAAAGGGGCUUGUUCCGUGGCAGUCACCUAAGCCUCUCAGGAGUCUUUUCUGAUUUGGACGGACCAACCUUCACAGAAAUUAAAUGGUUGGGAGUUGGGAAUUGGGAUGGACCUAUUCUAAAGUCCAAGUCUCCAGGAGACUAGGACUUGGGUUGGGACUUCAGAUUUUUAUUUUUGAAGUGUUGGAGACUUUUAGCAUGUAGGGUGGUUUGUUGGAGGUAGUUAAUUUUUUCUUUUUCCUCUUCCAUCUUUAGUAGGGAGAAGAAAUAUGUGUAGAAGGAUGUCAUUGAAUUUAUAUUUGAUAAUUAUGUUUUAAAAUGCCUUUUUUCAAUUUAUAAGUAUAUAUAUUUUAAAAUUUUAAUUAAAUAGCAAUUUACUUUCAAUAGGGGCGGAGCCAAUACUGGCUCCGGGCGCACUGCCUCCCCUCAAAUUUUAUAAAUAAAAAAUUUCCUUUGCUAAUAUAGGAAUUUUAGAAAGUUAAAAAAAAAUAAAAAUAGAAAAGCAAGUUUGCCCCUUCUAAAAAACUAAUUUUAUACUUGAAAAAAGAAAAUAAAUGGAAUAAAAAAAAUUAGAGAAUCAUCAAUAUUAAAUAGAUUUUAUAAAAUAUUUGUUUGUUUGUAUUUUUAAUUUUAUUUAAUGUUAAUAAAAUUAAAUUUAUUUAAAUCCUAAUAUAUACAAAAUAAAUGGAACAAACUAUAUAUAUAUGGUUAUAGGCUAUAUUUUGUUUAAUUUUGAAAUUUUUUUAAUGUUUAUAGUCUAUUUGAUUGUCAGUUUUUUGUUUUCAAAUAUAAAAAGUUGUUUUUAAAAAUUUCUAACAUUGUUUUAUCAUUAUUAUUUGAAAAAAAUUUUUAAAAACAAAAUGAAAUAGAAAAAAAAUUUUAGAAAAUAAAUAGGAUUUGUUUUCAUCAAUUUUUAAAAACUAAAGGAAAAUAUGAGUCUAUUUGACCAUGUUUUCUGUAAUUUGUUUUUAAUAAUUGUUUUUCAUUCUUUUAACUUAAAAGUGGUUUUUAAAAAUAAAUUUUAAAAAACAUGAUCAGUCAGACUUUUAGGUUUAAUCAAGUAGUUGUUAAUUCAUGAAUAUGUACACAAUUAUUCAAAUAUAUGUUACUUCAUUGUUGAUGAAAUUUAAUUUUGUUUCAAUAUUUGAUAUUUUAUUAAACAUAUAUUUUUAUUGAUAGGUUAUUUUUAGUUUAAUUUAAAGAUUUUUAUACAUGUUUAGAUUUUUAGGUUAAAUAAAACAUUUAUUAAUUUAGAGUUGAUUACCUAAAUUUUAAUAAUGACAUUAUAAUUACAUUAUAGAUAACUUUUAAAUAAAAAAUUUAUCAUUUUAAAAAAUCCAAAAAGAAAGUAUUAGUUAAAUUAUUAAUUUUUUCCAAAAUUUCUCUAGCAAAAUAUUUCUAAAAAUUUUGGUCAAAUUUCUUACUAACUUUAAAAAAAAAAAAUUCACAAACACUAUUUGAAUUUUUUUGAUAAACUUUUAAUAAAAUCUAAGACUCUUUUUUCAAUGUUUUUAGUAUUUUUGUUAUUUAAUUUUUCAUAUUAUAAAUUCCUCUUUUCUUUUAUUGAAUCAUACCAAUGUUACCAUUUUUAAAAUAUGAAAAUUUAUUUAUAAUUAUUAUAAUAUUCAAAUUUUUUAUUCCCCUCACACCAAAAUUUCUGGCUCUACAACUACUUUCAAUAUAUCAUAUGAUGAAAAAUAUAGGCAAUGUUUGAGAAGAAUAGUUUUUUAGUUUAUCUAUAUAUAUAUAUAUAUAUAUAUAUAUGUGUGUGUGUGUGUGUGUGUGUAAAUGUAAAUAGUUCCCAAAAUAAAUUUUUGAGAAAAAAUGGAAAUUAUAUUUGCAUCCACCAAAUUGAUCUUUAUAUCCAUUCUAUUUACACAUCAACUUAUAAUUUUAAACAUUUUGCAAAAUAGACUCACAAAUUCCUUCAUGCCCUCAUACAAAAAAAGGUAUAGGUACAUAACUAAAUCAUCUCAAAAAAACAAUUCUAUGGUAACACUAUUAAAGUGAGUGAUGAACUAAUUGUAAAGAGAAUUCUUAGAUGUUGAUAUUGUUGUCAACAAUAUUGACACAAUUAUGUUUAUGUCUAGGAUGUAAUGAAAUUGGUCGUUUGAAUGUUUUUCUAUUAUGCUCAUAAUCAUCACAUUUAUCACUACAUUAUGUGCGUUUAACCUUUUCAUCCGAACAAAUUCUUUCAUUUUUUUAUCUUCUUACUAGUUGCUGACUUUUAGGUGAUAAUACAACUCUAUAAAAAAAUGUAUUUUUAGGAAUUACCCAAUCUUUGUUAUUUCUAGUAGAAUAUAUAGAUUUUGAAUAUGAAGAUAUAAGUGAGUUCAUAUAGUAUUGAGAGCACAUAAUAUAGCACGACUUGUUUCCGUACCUACAUGUAGCAAUCGUAUGUGUACAUGAAAUAUGGUCAAGAUCAAACAUCCUACAUGUGCAUUAACGGGUCUGCAAAUUAACUUUAUCACUUAUCCCAACAUAUUUGAUAUUGAACUCCCAAAAGUUGAUAGAGUCAACAUCAUAACUUGAUAAUUUAUUAAACCUUAAGUACAACUUCAAGUUAACCCAUGUGGUAAAGCUUAAUUUUCAUUAACAAUGCUUGUUGUUGGCGAUUUGAAAACCAUCUCUGAAGUAAGUUUCUCAACUCUUUGACCAUUCUUAUAACUGAAAGAUCUCUUACAUCUUUUAAUACAACAUUCAUGCACUCAACAAUUUUGUAGUUAUGAUAUUUAAGAAAACAAAGGUUAUGUUUAGUUAAGAAAAACACCCAAAAGGAGGGGAGGGGAGGGGAGGGGGGGGGGGGGGUGAAUUGGGUUUUUAAAAUCUUUUCAAUCACAACAAAAUUAAACAAAAGAUAAGCAAAGUAAAGAGAUAGAGUUGAGAGAAUUCAAUCUCGGGUUUAUAGUGGUUCGAAAAUUCCUUGCCUACAUCCACUCUCCUCAACCUCCUAACCGAGUGAGGGUUCCACUAACUUGAAGCUUCAACUAAGCUUCCAAUCUUCUUACACUUGGAUUCCGGCUCCAAUGGGCUCUUACACAACCUCUUCAAGAUUCAACCCUCUUGAAGGCUUUAACACUCGGAUUGUUAUAAGAUAUAAUCACUCAACCUAGCUUAAAGAUGACUCAAAUACAAGACAAGGCUAGGAUGAUAAACAAGAGUGCACUAAAGGAUAUGUAAGUGGUGAUUUAAUGCACAAUGAAGGAAAUAAUAGCUUUUUGAUCAAGAACAGGUAGGUAGGCUUUGAAUGCAAUUGUUCUCUUGUCAAUAAAUGAAGUGGAACUCUCAAUUUAUAGGUUUCUAAGCUCGAGAGUCAAAAUCAGCAAAAGGCAACCUCGUCCGAUCGAGAUAGGGGUCGACCGGUUCACUAGUCGUUGGAGCAUUUAAUUCAUGACAGGUUACCAUUGCCUCAAUCAGACCUCGACCGGUAAAUGAAUCACCUCGACCGGGAAGAAAAGGCUACUGGGAGAAAGAGAAGGUUUUUUAACCUUCCUCGACCGGUCCUCGAUCGGACGACCUCAACCGGUCGACCGGUUGAUCCUUUUUAGCCCCGAAAAACCUAUUUUUUGAUUCAUUUCUUUUCUAACACUUAGACAAGGUCUUUAGGUAAAUUAUUAAGCCAAUUUUGAAACAUUUAGCCUAAGGUAAAUUAGUUAAAAACUCGGGUUUUAAUGAAAUCAACAUUUUAAAUAAUAAACCGAGUUUUCUAAGAUGCAUGAAAACAUAUGAAAAUCCUAAGUGCACUCAUGCAUUCAUCUUACAUUAGUUUCCUAUGAUCUCAAGUCUUCCAAGCAUCUUGAUCUUGUAUCCAUUUGGUCAUUUGAUGAAUUUUCGAGUUUAUACUUGUGAUUCUUAAAUAUUAAACCAAUUAGUUACUUAACCAUAGUUUGUUAUCAUCAAAACCCGAUUAAGAGAACCUUUGGGCUAACAAUAUUAUAUCUUUUGCCAUUAUUAUGUAACCGAGCCUAUUGCUUAAUUCCUACAUCCGCUAAAUAAAUCGAUUUCUCUAAUUUUCCAUGCAUGUGAUUUAUUACUUAUUAUUAUUUGACCUUGUCAUAUGGAUAAAACUUUUCAACUUCUUUUGAAUUAACUUUUCACUUUUUCACAUUUUAAAACUUAUUUUUUCAUAACUAACAAUGAAUUUUUUUUUACCAACAAUGGUGACUAAAAAGAAAUAAAAUGAUAAUAUAAAAAAAAUAUUGGCUGCUUACAUUUUUAACAUCUUUCGUGACUAAAAAUAAAGAGUAGAUGAAAUAAUAGUGAAAAUUUAGGCUUUUUCUUCUGGACACAAAAAAAAAAAAGAGCAAAUAGAUGAUCAAAUAAAAAAAUAAAAAGCUAAUCUACUAUAAAAUGGAGGUAACGAGAAAAUGAUGUUGAAGGGAAAAAAAUUGGGUAUUUUUGUCCUAAUUGGAUAAUUUUUUCUACUUUUUGAGGGAUAAAUUAUUUUUUUAAAUAUGAGAGUUAUUUUAAUCCCUUUUAACCAAAUAACCCAAAUUUUAAACGGUUAGAAAAGGUAUUGAGAAGUUGUUUUGAAAGCUUAAAGCUGUGUCAAAAAUGGUCAAUGGGCUUGUACCUCCAACUUUUCCACCUUAGAAAGCCUUAGGAUUCAGAGAACCUUAUCUAUGAAUUAGGUGAAAAGGAAUGCCUCUCCCCUCUAACCAUUAUUAAAGCUAGCGAAGCAUAAGAAGAGUCCACGUUUUUCCCCCACAAGAAAGCUAAAAGUUAGCUCAAAAGCCUCAUAAGUCUCCUAGGAAAACUUAUUAUCUAUGAAUGACAGCAUUUUUAAAAAUAGUUUUUUUCAGCUUAUUAUCUAUGAAUGGAGGCUUAAUGCAAAACUUUUCAAGAGUAUUUUGUUAUAUUUUCAAUUGAUUCUCAUAACACUUAACAAAAAAAAGCCUAAAAACAUAUCAUAUUUGUUCUUAAAAAAGAACCAUUUUUCAAAAAAUUAUUCUUAGUAAAAAGUUUGUCAAACACUUUUUUAAAAUUGGAGUUAGGUUUUCUAUUUUGACAAAAAAAAUUAUUUUCAAAAACUGUUUCCAACCACUAAUUUAAUUUAAAAACUUUAAUUGUUAAAUGAUAUACCAACUACAUAUAUUAAGUUGAUUUUUUGCUAAAAACCCUAACACCAAACUUAUCAGGCAACCGCUAUUUUCUGAACUAAUUUAAUUUAAAAGCUUAAAUUGUUAGAUAAUUAGCCAUAUGUAUCAAGCCUACCCAUGCUAAAAGCCCUAACAACAUCAAACUCAAAACUUGAUGCCAGAGGUCUUCAUACUUCAACUUCAGCCUGAUUACUCAACAUACAGAGGCCACCAUCCUCACAAAGAAAAUGAAACUAAGCAGAACAACAAGCAUACAAUUAAUCUACCGCCCAGAUGCUAAGGAUCCAACAGACAUCACUCCAUAGGAUGAUGGGUGUGAGUCAGUUUUGGAGUCCAAUGAGCCCACAAAGAAACCUAAACUUGAAGCAUCAACCUCGGGGAGUGGGUCGAAGCCACUGAGAUAUCUUGUAACCUGCUGCAUAUUAGGCCUAGCCUGUGGCUCUGGGUGAGAACAGAGGAGGCCAACCUUCAAAACCAAUUCAAUCUCCUCCUUCACAUAUGAAUUCCCAAGCUUUGGAUCUGCAGCUUCAAGUAUAUGACCCCUCUGAUGACACUGUGUCACCCAAUCUUGUAGAAUCAUCUGUUUCCCGGACGAGGCAUUGGGGUCUAGAGGCCUCCUCCCACAUGCCACUUCUAGUAGUACUGCCCCAAAGGCGAAUACAUCGGAGCUUGCGGUGGCCUUUCCAGUGAGGGAGAGCUCCGGUGCUAUGUACCCCACUGUGCCCACCACAUGGGUGGUGCUGGGGUUCUUCCCAUGCUCAUAUAGUUUGGCCAGGCCGAAGUCUCCUAGCCGGGCAUUCAUAUUUGAGUCAAGCAGGACAUUGUUGGCCUUCACAUCCCUAUGGACAACUACCUGUUCCCAUUCUUCAUGUAAAUAUAGGAGGCCUGCAGCAAUCUCCUUGAGGAUCCUGAACCUCUGUCCCCAAUCAAGGUUCUUGUCUUCUUGAAACAGGAAGGUGUCCAGGCUGCCAUUGGACAUAUAAUCAUAAACAAGAAGGAGAUCGCCUUUUCGCUUACACCAACCUUGGAGAUGAACCAAGUGCCUGUGCCUCAGCUUGCCUAGGCUUGCAAUCUCUGCAACAAACUCCUUCACUCCCUGCUUGGAAUUGUGGGAAAUUCUCUUUACAGCAACUUCUUCUCUAGUCUUUGGCAGCACCCCCUUGUAGACGGAACCGAACCCACCUUUGCCCAGAAUCUGGCUCUCCUUGAAGCCCUUUGUGGCAAUAUAAAGGUCUUUGUAUCUAAACCUAUGGGGGAAGUCCAAUUCCCAAUCUUCCAGGACCUCAGCUAGCCUUGCCCUUCUUAGCAUAUACACAGAAAUGGCGAUUCCACACAGAAGCAACGCAAGGGUCACCAUUGCUGACGCUGCUCCAAUCUCAAUCCCUCUUCUCCCAAGGCCUGGAGAUGGGGUUCCAUUUCUUGGGGGAGAAGGGAUUUUAGAGAGAUCAAGAGGGUCUGCUUCUGUACUACCCAUCUUCAAACUCCACCCCAGAAUGUAAUGAGAGCUAGCAAGCUUCUCAGUGGCAGCUGAGAAGCCAACAUACAUGGACUCUUUAAAGAUAGGGGAUAAGUCCAUGGCUAGAGACAAGAGGGGUUUGCUUGGUUUAGGAAGAGAAGCAGGGGAAAUGGUGACAUUGACGAUUUUUUGAGCUCCAUCAUACUCGAUCCAAGCUUGGAUUGGAUUCCCACUCUCCAAAACCACUUCAUGAGAGGAUUUGGAGGAGUGAUCAUAGUAUGAAGCUGGCUUAGAAGCAUUAGACCUAACAGUAUUGAUGUCUAUACCAACAUGGUUAUCAUCGAUAUCUCCAUACAUAACCAGGGAUUGAACUGUAUCAAACUCAACCGCAAACAAAUGGUUGGAGAAGUUCCCCAUGGUGACCUCAUUAAAAAGACCAAAAAGAUUACCAAGUCCACCAUCUGAAAGGUUCUUGGUGGGAGAAACAGUGAAGACAAAACCAUGCCCACCAGACCCACCAGCAAACCUGGGGACAAUGGCAAAAACGAAGGUUGUGGCAAAGGAGGAAGCUGUGGUGGGGUGUUGGGAAUCAUGGCUGUUCUUGUUGAGAAAGUGAAAUGGGGUGUUGUAGAAGGCAUGGCCAGUGAGGUUGUGUGAUGAGUUUGUAAGCCUGAGAGCCCCAUUUGGCGUGAUGAGGGAAGCCCCACCAAGGCUUAAGUUGGAUGCAGAAGCUUUGAAGCCAUUGAAGACGAAGCCAUAAUCAGACUGAGAGUAAGCUUGAUUAAGGAGGAGCAGAG